rnacentral:lncRNA from 1 species
GACAUUUGGAGGCAGAUGAAUUAGAAGACAGCUUGACGAAUGUUGUUUGAUGACUUUUCUUCCUUAACUUAUUCAAGGAAUAAAAUAUCUUUUCACUUCCCCUUCAGGAGACCAGUGGUUUGAAUAUAGGUAUUUCAGUUAGGAUUUACAUUUUGCUGCAUGCAAGAUGAACUGACUACAGUGGUUGAUAAUGCCUUCCCUUGGGGUGAUCCUGUUUUCACAGACACAUUACUACUGAAGGAAAUGUGGGGGCACUGGAUUGAUUUAAGGAUUUA